CCGAGUUAGGGUGUGCCCUCCGGGUACCCCGACCUCCCAACCCUUUGUCUAUGUUACCUCAGUUGCUUCGGUGGGCCGGAAGCUGACCAACUGGUCGCGACCGCCGGUCUUCGGGCUGGAGAGCUGCCCACCGAUGGCCCAACAAACUUCUUUAUACCAAAACCUGUCGUCUGAAUUAUUGUGAUUGUAUAAUCAAAAAACA
rnacentral:misc_RNA from 1 species